AUCUUUGCACUUGGGGUAAUGACACAGCUAGUGAGGUAUUAACUGAGGUCCAUCUAUUGCUGGUUGAAAACUACUUUCAAACCCCCUCCGAGCCUAGAUUAAAACCCAGGCCUUGAAGAAUUUCUAGAAGGGCUCCCUUUUUGAGUAAAGCC